rnacentral:rRNA from 2 species
UACGGAGGGAGCUAGCGUUAUUCGGAAUUACUGGGCGUAAAGCGCACGUAGGCGGCUUUGUAAGUUAGAGGUGAAAGCCUGGAGCUCAACUCCAGAAUUGCCUUUAAGACUGCAUCGCUUGAAUCCAGGAGAGGUGAGUGGAAUUCCGAGUGUAGAGGUGAAAUUCGUAGAUAUUCGGAAGAACACCAGUGGCGAAGGCGGCUCACUGGACUGGUAUUGACGCUGAGGUGCGAAAGCGUGGGGAGCAAAC